rnacentral:lncRNA from 1 species
UUUUCUACCGCUUCGAUUUGGAGGGGGCGGGGGAAGACCUCCAGGAACCUCAUUUCAAGAGCGUGGAGGCAGAUAACCUGCCCCCAACACCACUCCAGCUUCUGCCAGACAGAUGGAACUCUCCAAUAUGAAAAUCUGCGCAGCCAUUCCAACAAGCAGGACUCUGCGCGAGGUUGUCCGAAAGAUGCGGAGGAAAAAGACUUAAGGACUGGCAGCGCUCUUACCCCAAGAUCGGUAAGUGAAAGUGGUUUUCGGAGGGGAGGAGGGCUACUCCUGACUGCUUUUGCUUGAGGCUUAAACCGCGACUUUGAGGUCCAGGGCUAAAGUGCUCCCCAGUUUUUAUUUUUUAUUUUUGAAAAAUUUCGUUAGCUGGGCGUCCUAUCAGCCGCAGUAGCUGAACGAGUGCAUGCUUUUCCCACGUCGGCAGAAAGUCACAGUGGAUCCCUAAGAAAAGAGGAUGUAGGCAGGACAAAGAG